rnacentral:rRNA from 1 species
AACGAACGCUGGCGGCGUGGAUUAGGCAUGCAAGUCGAACGAGAAAGGUCCCUUCGGGGGCUGAGUAAAGUGGCAAACGGGUGAGUAACGCGUGGGAAACUUGCCUUUCAGUUGGGGAUAACACUUCCAACGAGGUGCUAAUACCGAAUUCGAUCCUUGUGUCGCAUGGCAUGAGGAUGAAAGGCGGCCUCUGUUUCAAGCUGUCGCUGAAAGAUGGUCCCGCGUCCCAUUAGCUAGUUGGUGAGGUAACGGCCCACCAAGGCUAUGAUGGGUAGCCGGCCUUAGCGGGUGUCCGGCCACACUGGGACUGAGAUACGGCCCAGACUCCUACGGGUGGCUG